rnacentral:rRNA from 1 species
AUACGGAGGAUGCGAGCGUUAUCCGGAUUUACUGGGCGUAAAGGGCGUGUAGGCGGUCUUGCAAGUCAGAAGUGAAAUUCCUGAGCUCAACUCGGGCGCUGCUUCUGAAACUGCAGGACUUGAGUGCUGGAGGGGAUAGCGGAAUUCCUAGUGGAGCGGUAAAAUGCGCAGAUAUUAGGAAGAACACCGGUGGCGAAGGCGGAUUUCUGGACAGUAAAUGACGCUGAGGGGCGAAAGGGUGGGGAGAAAACAGGAUUAGAUACCCUGGUAGUCCACGCCGUAACCGAUGAAUACUAGGUGUAGGGGGUAUCGACUCCCUCUGUGCCGCAGUUAACACAAUAAGUAUUCCGCCUGGGGAGUACGGCCGCAAGGUUGAAACUCAAAUGAAUUGGCGGGG